AACGAACGCUGGCGGCACGCCUAACACAUGCAAGUCGAACGAGACCUUCGGGUCUAGUGGCGCACGGGUGCGUAACGCGUGGGAACCUGCCCUUAGGUUAGGAAUAACUCCCCGAAAGGGGUGCUAAUACCGGAUAAUGUCUUCGGACCAAAGAUUUAUCGCCUUUGGAUGGGCCCGCGUUGGAUUAGCUAGUUGGUAGGGUAAAAGCCUACCAAGGCGACGAUCCAUAGCUGGUCUGAGAGGAUGAUCAGCCACACUGGGACUGAGACACGGCCCAGACUCCUACGGGAGGCAGCAGUGGGGAAUAUUGGACAAUGGGCGAAAGCCUGAUCCAGCAAUGCCGCGUGAGUGAUGAAGGCCUUAGGGUUGUAAAGCUCUUUUACCCGGGAUGAUAAUGACAGUACCGGGAGAAUAAGCUCCGGCUAACUCCGUG
rnacentral:rRNA from 1 species